ensembl:lncRNA
AUGCAGUUUACCAAUGCACAUACUGUAUCUACCUCCAGCCACUCCUUCCAGGCUUCUCCAUCUCCCCACCUGCCAUCACCUGCAGCCUCCUAUGCGUCUCCACCAUCCUGCCUUCCUGUCCCAGCCCCACCACCUCAUGAAGAGCAGCCUGAGCAGAUCGAUCGUCUUCUGGAGGAAGUGAUGAUGGGACUCGACAUUUUACCAAACAACAAAGGCAGCGCUUCACAUGCUCAGCAUCCCCUUCCAGCAGGUAGCAACACUGGCGCCUCUGCCUCUUCUGAAAUCACCUCAUCCCAAAACAAACCGCAGAGCCUGACUUCUGAGCUCCGUGAAUCCACUGAGGUUGCUGCUGUUGCAGGAGCAGCUGGUCGCUCCAGUCCUACAAAUGGUGUGGUGCCAGUUCUAGAUCAGCCGUGCGAGGGAGAGCUGGGUGACAUGCUGGACCAAUUCCUCCAGUCGUUUGAGCAGCAUGUUGAAAGCUGUCGUGCAAGAGAGGAGAUGGAGACGAGUGGUGUGAGCUCCACAGAGACCUGCCAACCUCACACUCUCAUGAACACUUACAAAAAAAACAAAGAUCACACUACAACCCCCUACAUUCCUCAACUACAAAAGAGCACCCACAGAAUUGAGUGCUCUCAAACACCUGAGCUGCACAUUGAUGAAAAUGAGUCUCAGGAGAGCCGCUCACAGUCACGCAAAGCCCACGCUGGCCGCACCGUUUCCCCCAAACGCAUAGAGGAAACCAGACCGACUUCAAAACGACAGAACAAAAGAAGACUAAAGCCUUAUCUGUUCUCACUAGAGAAGAAGAGGGUGAAGGUGAGGAAGCCAGACGAUGCGGUGAACAGAAACACUCAUGCCAGAAAAGAGAAGCAGCUAAAGCAGAUUCCUGUGGUGAACCUGGAGAGGAGAGACCUGCUGCCGGCCAAAGUGGCAACGCCGGGACACAUCUGUCAGAAUCUGGAAGGCAAGGGUCCUGAAGAAACAAAAAACAUAUCAUCUAUAGGGAAAAAUCCCCAUGGUGGCUUCUUGAAGAUCUACCCGAUCAGGAGCCGGUUAAGGGAACCACAAAUCCCGGAUGCUUUACUCUUCCUUCAGGAGCCACUUACAGCCAAACGCCUACCCUCAGCUGUUCAGUCAGGACGCAGACGUAGGGGCAGACCCAGGAAAAAUGACCCUCUCAGUUCAUCUAACAGAGAGUGUUCAAAACCACCCAUUCUGGCACAGCCUGCAGAUUUCUGUGUUGCAGAUGAACAACUUGAGAAAAACCAGGAGAGACAUGAGGAGGAGUUGGCUGUACAGCCACACGAAGAGGUGGGGGGGCCUACGAGGAGGGGACAGAAGAGGGGAGCAGAGUCAGACGAGAAUACGAGUGAUAACUCCACCGUGGCCAAGAGGGCUUGCUUUGAGACACCGACACAGCCACCCGCCUCUGAACCUGCAGACUUUACCUCUAAACUAGGAGCCACAGAUCCUGAGGAGAUAAUCGAUGUAGAGACUGUUUCUCUGACCGGAGACUGUUUACAGGAAGAAAAAGAAAAUCUCCUGUGGAGUGAACUCAGACUAGCUGAGGGAAGUCUGACAGAUGAGGAAGUGCAGAGCAGCGCUGAUGAGAUCAUCGAUGUGGAUGGAGACGACGAAAACAUGGAGAUGAAAGAAGAGAUUCACUGCCAGAGCAGAACAGCGCCGACUGUGUUUGCUGACCUGCAGCCUUCUGUUUCACCCUCACAGUCUGCAAAUGGAAGCUGGGACGUUGUCAAAGAUGAGGUCAUCGAUGUGAUUGGAGGCUCCAGUCCCGUCCCUGAACCGGUGACCAUCACGUGGACAGAGUCUUCAGAAGGUGAGGAAGAAGGAGGAGAGCAGGACGUUGAUGUAGUCGGAGAACACAAAGACAGCGCUUCAUCAGUGAUCUUCACCGCUGUGAUUAAAGACCUUGUCAAGAGAAACGUUCAGACUGAGGUGCACUUUCAUUAAUACCGCUAAUGCCCCCUUCUUUUCUGUUCAUGUGAUUUCUUACAUUGUUUCAUUUAACUGCGUCUAUUUCAGGGCUGGUGACAAAUGGUCGACGUAGAUGUUCAUAAAUGUUUGUCUUCUCUCUGUAUUGUGCUCACGUCCACGUGCAACAAUGCUGACAAUCACACCAAGGAUGUUUGUUUUGCUAUUCCACCGACGUUUAGGAUAAACUGAGCAAUAUGUGUCAUUUGUUUCAAGCAGUGAGGAAAGACCUGCAUCUGUGAGCUUAAUCAGAACAAAAGGACGUGUGUUUGUGUGAAGAUGUUUAGUUUUAAGCUCUUCAGCUGAGUAUAUAGAGACAGCUGGGAUUGUUCUUAUUUGAAGAAUUUUAUGUGUGUUACAAGUUUAAUAUUACUCAUUUGUAACUGUUAAGCAAAGUUUUUUUAAACUGAAGUGUUGGAAAUACAUUUAAAAAAAUCAGGUUUUUGUAUGUAAAAGAAAUGAAGCGUGUUUUAUUAGUUGUACAUAUGACAGUAACCGUGCAUUAUGCCUUAGUCACGCUUCAGCUGAAAAUCUACAUCGCAACUUAAUCUUCCACGGCGAUCAGAGUCGACCUGACCUGUAGUUGCAUUUCUCCAGAGCUGCACGUCAGGUUACGUUGUAAGUUACGACGUAGAUUUCCCGCUGAAGCAGAACUCAGUUAGUUGUAAAUAUGAUUGGUCACAUAUAUACAUGUAUGUCAGCUUCUGUUCCAGAAAACUUUCAGCAUUCCUUGUUUUUAUGUCCGUUUUCGUUUGCUAAUGUUCCCCGUGGCACUUUUGGUUCCAGGAUCUGUUUCCUGUAAUAAAGAUUUUUCUGUGAUGCUUGUAACCUUAUUACUGCGCAAGUGGAUCUGAAACAACAAACAACAACAAAAGCCUCAAAACACCAAGUUUUUUAGCUUCCGAUCAGCCAGAGCAAUAGUUCUUCAGUCUUUCUGAAGGUCAUUCAAGGUUUUUCUUUGGAUACUUCUUUACUUAAAUCCAUUAAAAAAUGCCACAAAUUGCGAAUUCAUAAAAAACACAGUUUGACAGACAUAAAGUCAAAGUGUUUCCUAGGUUAAAGCUCUUAUAAUGAAAGCUGUUCUCUGGUCAGACAACUCAAAACUCUAUUUGAAAAAAAAAAAAAAAAAAUUCUUGAAAAACAUGCCUCAUCCAAAAGAGGAAAAGGAACAUACAGCUUGUUAUCAGCACUCAGUUUAAGAGCCUGCGUCAUCAGUGCCUAUGGAAUUGGCAGCUUUGCACAUCUGGAAAGGCACCAUCAGUGGUGGAGGGUAUAUAAAAAUUUUAAAGUAACAUAUACUCCCAUCUGAACAUCUUUUCCAAAAAAAAAGAAUUGCAUGUUUGAGCAAAUCAAUGCUAAAUCACAUACUGCAUAUAUUAAAACAGCGUGGCUUCACAGUAGAAGAGUCUGGGAGCUGAACUGUCCUGCCUGCAGUCCAGACCUUUCACCAUCUGAACACAUUUGGCAUACGAUAAAGAAGACGAAGGACUGUCGAGCUGCUAGAAUCCUCUUUCAGACAAGAACAACAUUUCACUCCCAAAAGUCCAGCAACUGCUCUCCUCAGUUCCCAGAUGUUUAC